rnacentral:rRNA from 1 species
CUCAGGAUGAACGCUAGCUACAGGCUUAACACAUGCAAGUCGAGGGGCAGCAUUUCAGUUUGCUUGCAAACUGGAGAUGGCGACCGGCGCACGGGUGAGUAACACGUAUCCAACCUGCCGAUAACUCGGGGAUAGCCUUUCGAAAGAAAGAUUAAUACCCGAUGGUAUAAUCAGACCGCAUGGUCUUGUUAUUAAAGAAUUUCGGUUAUCGAUGGGGAUGCGUUCCAUUAGGCAGUUGGUGAGGUAACGGCUCACCAAACCUUCGAUGGAUAGGGGUUCUGAGAGGAAGGUCCCCCACAUUGGAACUGAGACACGGUCCAAACUCCUACGGGAGGUAGCAGUGAGGAAUAUUGGUCAAUGGGCGCAGGCCUGAACCAGCCAAGUAGCGUGAAGGAUGACUGCCCUAUGGGUUGUAAACUUCUUUUAUAUGGGAAUAAAGUUUUCCACGUGUGGAAUUUUGUAUGUACCAUAUGAAUAAGGAUCGGCUAACUCCGUGCCAGCAGCCGCGGUAAUACGGAGGAUCCGAGCGUUAUCCGGAUUUAUUGGGUUUAAAGGGAGCGUAGGUGGACAGUUAAGUCAGUUGUGAAAGUUUGCGGCUCAACCGUAAAAUUGCAGUUGAUACUGGCUGUCUUGAGUACAGUAGAGGUGGGCGGAAUUCGUGGUGUAGCGGUGAAAUGCUUAGAUAUCACGAAGAACUCCGAUUGCGAAGGCAGCUCACUGGACUGCAACUGACACUGAUGCUCGAAAGUGUGGGUAUCAAACAGGAUUAGAUACCCUGGUAGUCCACACAGUAAACGAUGAAUACUCGCUGUUUGCGAUAUACAGUAAGCGGCCAAGCGAAAGCAUUAAGUAUUCCACCUGGGGAGUACGCCGGCAACGGUGAAACUCAAAGGAAUUGACGGGGGGCCCGCACAAGCGGAGGAACAUGUGGUAUAAUUCGUAUGAUACGCGAGGAACCUUACCCGGGCUUAAAUGGCAUUAGAAUAAUCUGGAAACAGAUUAGCAGCAAGGCA